UUGCCCUCUCUUCCCACCUCAUAGGCUACACCUUGACCUAACAUUUUUAUGUGUAUACUUGUGCUUACUUUGCAACCUUUCUAGGGUUUGCUGAAGAUGGCAGCACAUAGGCUGGGGGCAAGAGGUGGUGAGGUGCAUUGGGGUUUCUCAAUUAUAGAACAGG